rnacentral:rRNA from 1 species
GAUGAACGCUGGCGGCGUGCCUAAUACAUGCAAGUCGAGCGAACAGACGAGGCGCUUGCUCCUCUGACGUUAGCGGCGGACGGGUGAGUAACACGUGGAUAACCUACCUAUAAGACUGGGAUAACUUCGGGAAACCGGAGACAAUACCGGAUAAUAUAUUGAACCGCAUGGUUCUAUAGUGAACGCCGGUUUUGCUGUCACUUAUAGAUGAAUCCGGGUCGCAUUAGCUAGUUGGUAAGGUAACGGCUUACCAAGGCAACGAUGCGUAGCCGACCUGAGAGGGUUAUCGGCCAAACUGGAACUGAGACACGGUCCAGACUCCUACGGGAGGCAGCAGUAGGGAAUCUUCCACAAUGGGCGAAAGCCUGACGGAGCAACGCCGCGUGAGUGAUGAAGGUCUUCGGAUCGUAAAACUCUGUAAUUAGGGAAGAACAAAUGUGAAAGUAACUAUGCACGUCUUGACGGUACCUAAACAGAAAGCCACGGCUAACUACGUG